AGUACCAGAAAAAAUUCAAGAAAUCAUUGCUGUUUAGUUCAUUUGAUCAAAACUGUAGGCAAACCGUAAGAAUCAGAUAUGACCUUCUAUAUUGAGGAAAUAGAAAAAUGAUAGGAAACUUGUGCAAGAGAUCUUUGCAUAAUCCAAGGAUUCCUUCUAAUUUUAAGGCUUAGCAUUGGGGCAAGGACAUGACGCAGAGCAACUGGAGACCAUACCUCUUGGUAUUUUGUUUACUGUGGUUAAUUAGCAAUAAAAAGCAGCUAGACUGGGAGUUGCAGGGCUCAUGAGGUAGUUAUAUCAAGCAGAAAACGAGUAGUGCAGUGGAGUUUUCAUGAUUCAACACUAGCAAAGAGGUAUUUCUUCCUUCACUAUUUAAAAUGACAGCAAUAUAGUAGAAUUCUGAAUAAAAUGAUUAUAAUAAUAAUUCACAUAACUUAUAUUUUAUCUAUUUGGGGACUUUGGUGCCUGCCUUAAUCCAUGCAUAUCUGUACUAUUCCAUAAGGUAACACACCCGUGUAUUUUCAAAAAGCUUUCCUGAAAUUCUAAAAAUGAACUUCCAGAUAUGAGUCAAGUUAAGACCUAUUUUAGUGUGAAAGUUGAUGGACUUGAGAGUCAGAAAGAAGGGUUCAAAUCUGUCUCUGCCUUUUGACUUCUCUGAGACAUUUAAUUUUUAAAUUUGUUCAGUGGGAACAAGGAUCCUUGCCUCUAGAAGUACUGCAAGGUUCAAUGAGAUAAUUAUGAAAGGACUUGCCCUUAGUAGAUUCUUUCCACCAUCUUCACCUCACUUUUUGUCUUUUUGCCAUUUCUUGGGCCACUCCCACGGCAUAUGGAGAUUCCCAGGCUAGGGGUCGAAUAGGAGCUGUAGCCACUGGCCUACGCCAGAACCACAGCAACACGGGCCACAUCUGCAACCUACACCACAGCUCACAGCAAUGCCGGAUCCUUAACCCACUGAGCAAGGCCAGGGAUCGAACCUGCAACCUCAGGGUUACUAGUCGGAUUCAUUAACCACUGAGCCACGACGGGAACUCCUCACCUCACAUUUUCUAGAGGAAUUUCAGAUAAUAUUUUAGCAAUAGUUGUUUCUAUGUUGUACGUGAACCUCUCUUGCCUAAUCAAUAAUUAUUCACUUUACAAAACAAAUGUACACUUAAGUUAUAAUCUCCCUUGGGACACUGAAUAGUUUGUUAUUCAACGAACAAGCAGGAAACAGAAAAGUCCAAAUUUCAAUUGUUCUAUUGCUAAGAGCAAACCAAUAAGAAAUCAUGAUAAAAUGUAUCCACACUGAUAAUUCAGGUCAUUGAAAACUUAUGCUGAAAUAAAUAUUCAGUUGACAUGCAGUUUUUAGGUAUGUAUAUUGACCAAAGUGAGGUGAUUCUAUGGCAGGAAUUUCAAGCAUGAUUAACUUUCAUGAGUCCUCUGAAAACUUUAUUGGGAUUUGCUAAUUGGCUAUUGUUUAAAUUAUGACACUUCUCAUCAACUAAUAAUCAGUGAACAUUCUUACACAUUCUGUUCCCUUCUAGGCUCCAGAGCAUCUGGCUCUGAGAUAUGCCAUCAUAAAAUGCCUUGAAAAAGUUUAUGAGCCUUAGUUGUAAAUUGUAAAACUUAUUUUGUAAAAGGAAGAAGUAGGUUCCAAUUUGAAUAGCCUAAUAAAAGAGGGAAUGGUGGAAAUUACCAUUCUUUUUUUUUUAUUGGUUGAAUAAAUGAAUGGAUUUGAUUAUAUAAAAGACAGGAUAAAAAUGUUCACAGAAAUAAAAUAUACAGUUCUGAACAACUUGUUCUUCAUGUACUGCUGGUUUAAAACCAAAACAAACAAAUUCUGAAAUGUCUUUUUUUUGCAGUUCUUUCCUGCUCAGACAGAACAAUUCAAUCAAAAACUAAGAGAUUCCAUGUCUUCAUUUUCUAUUAUUUUUUUUCCUUCUCUCUAAAUACUGUGGAGUAGGGAAACAAAGGUUGUAAUUUUAGAUAGAGCAACAACUAUAAGGCUGAGAACUCAUUGGCAAAUAAUUUAAACAUUAAACAUUAGAGUAUGAAGGCUAGGUUCUAUAACAAAUUUAUAAGAACUGAAAAAUGUCACUAUCAAAAAAAAUAGUAGGCCUUUUAAUGGGUAGAAGAGAGAAAAACAGGAAACUAGCAAAUAAAAGAGUCUAAACCUUAUCCUUCGUUAAAUGAGGAACUGAAUUUCUAAGAAAUCAACUCUGGCCUUGAUGUUUGGGAAACAAAUGAAAUGUUCAUUCAUGUAUUAAUUUACUCAUUCAAGAAAACCUUUGAUGUUGAAGAUAAUAUAAAAUAAAACUAUCUCAGAUUUAAGGAGUUAUAGUUCUUCCCAUAGUCAAAAAGACACGUCCUUAGUAAUAGGAGCCCUGAAUACUUAAAAUUACUAACAGGAUGGCAUGUGCUUUUAAGUUAAAAAUACCUUUUCUAACCAAGGCAGUCAUCUGUGAAAAUCGCUAAUUAGCUUUACAUACUCAUGAAUUCAAAGAGAAACUGAGAGGGUUCCUCCAGUUAACAUAUUAAGCUGAAGUGAUGUGAGAAACCUUCCCACAUCAAAUAGACUGGGAUAAAAUGUAAACGUAGACAAAAACAUUAAAUACAAAACUGGGCUUGAAAUAGAAGAAGAGGAAGAAGAAGGAGGAGGAGGAAAAGGAGGAGAAGGAGAAGAAUGAGAAGAGGAAGAAAAUCCUCAGUGUCAGAACUGAAGAGAGAAUUCAAAGUUGGAAGAGUUCAAAGGUGGUUCUUUUCAUGGAUUCUUUUUAUGCAUUUAAUCAGUGAAUGCCUUUCUGGAAUGUGUGUGUGUGUGUGUGUUUAGGAGCUAUUUUGUUGAAAUAAGAGGGAAGGUCUCAGCUUCAGUCACUGUGCAAAAGGGAACAUGGGACUGAACUUUCUUUUUAAGAGUCAUAAGUGAUCAGGUUUUACGUGGAAAAAAAGACAAGGAAAGCUUGACCUCCACUCAAGCCAGAAAGUCUGCAAGGAAGCUUGUCGACUGCAGAAAUGAAGGAUGGAAAUAUCUACUUUGAGAGAUCAGAAGCUCCAGGAGCCCUGAGCAGGGUUGAGUCUGGAUUCAUGGUAAUUGCAGAGUAUAAGGUUACCCACUGGAACACAUGAUACUGGGGUCCCAAAGCAGAGGCAAUCCUAAAACCAUACUGUAGGGAGGUUACCUUACUUUAGGCAUAUAGGACUCCCAUAUGCUGAAGGUAAACUUACAGUUAAAAUAACAGAUCUUGUAGGAACACAAACCACCAUUAGAAGAGUCAUCAGAUACAACACAUGGGGAAUUAAUACCUCUUGGACUGGAGACUGCAGGGCAUACUCAGGAGACUUUGAUGUAAAUCAAAGAGACAAAACAGAAAUGAAAAGGAUAGACUAAAUUAUUUGGGGGGAUAAGAAGAU
rnacentral:lncRNA from 1 species